UUGAAGAGUUUGAUCAUGGCUCAGAUUGAACGCUGGCGGCAGGCCUAACACAUGCAAGUCGAGCGGUAGCACAGAGAGCUUGCUCUCGGGUGACGAGCGGCGGACGGGUGAGUAAUGUCUGGGAAACUGCCUGAUGGAGGGGGAUAACUACUGGAAACGGUAGCUAAUACCGCAUAAUGUCGCAAGACCAAAGUGGGGGACCUUCGGGCCUCAUGCCAUCAGAUGUGCCCAGAUGGGAUUAGCUAGUAGGUGGGGUAACGGCUCACCUAGGCGACGAUCCCUAGCUGGUCUGAGAGGAUGACCAGCCACACUGGAACUGAGACACGGUCCAGACUCCUACGGGAGGCAGCAGUGGGGAAUAUUGCACAAUGGGCGCAAGCCUGAUGCAGCCAUGCCGCGUGUGUGAAGAAGGCCUUCGGGUUGUAAAGCACUUUCAGCGGGGAGGAAGGCGAUAAGGUUAAUAACCUUGUCGAUUGACGUUACCCGCAGAAGAAGCACCGGCUAACUCCGUGCCAGCAGCCGCGGUAAUACGGAGGGUGCAAGCGUUAAUCGGAAUUACUGGGCGUAAAGCGCACGCAGGCGGUCUGUCAAGUCGGAUGUGAAAUCCCCGGGCUCAACCUGGGAACUGCAUUCGAAACUGGCAGGCUAGAGUCUUGUAGAGGGGGGUAGAAUUCCAGGUGUAGCGGUGAAAUGCGUAGAGAUCUGGAGGAAUACCGGUGGCGAAGGCGGCCCCCUGGACAAAGACUGACGCUCAGGUGCGAAAGCGUGGGGAGCAAACAGGAUUAGAUACCCUGGUAGUCCACGCCGUAAACGAUGUCGAUUUGGAGGUUGUGCCCUUGAGGCGUGGCUUCCGGAGCUAACGCGUUAAAUCGACCGCCUGGGGAGUACGGCCGCAAGGUUAAAACUCAAAUGAAUUGACGGGGGCCCGCACAAGCGGUGGAGCAUGUGGUUUAAUUCGAUGCAACGCGAAGAACCUUACCUGGUCUUGACAUCCACAGAACUUUCCAGAGAUGGAUUGGUGCCUUCGGGAACUGUGAGACAGGUGCUGCAUGGCUGUCGUCAGCUCGUGUUGUGAAAUGUUGGGUUAAGUCCCGCAACGAGCGCAACCCUUAUCCUUUGUUGCCAGCGGUUCGGCCGGGAACUCAAAGGAGACUGCCAGUGAUAAACUGGAGGAAGGUGGGGAUGACGUCAAGUCAUCAUGGCCCUUACGACCAGGGCUACACACGUGCUACAAUGGCAUAUACAAAGAGAAGCGACCUCGCGAGAGCAAGCGGACCUCAUAAAGUAUGUCGUAGUCCGGAUUGGAGUCUGCAACUCGACUCCAUGAAGUCGGAAUCGCUAGUAAUCGUAGAUCAGAAUGCUACGGUGAAUACGUUCCCGGGCCUUGUACACACCGCCCGUCACACCAUGGGAGUGGGUUGCAAAAGAAGUAGGUAGCUUAACCUUCGGGAGGGCGCUUACCACUUUGUGAUUCAUGACUGGGGUGAAGUCGUAACAAGGUAACCGUAGGGGAACCUGCGGUUGGAUCACCUCCUU
rnacentral:rRNA from 1 species